rnacentral:rRNA from 1 species
GGUCAAGCGAGUAAGUGCACGCGGUGGAUGCCUUGGCACAGGCCGGCGAUGAAGGACGUGGCAAGCUGCGAUAAGCUUCGGGGAGCUGCAAGCAAGCUUCGAUCCGGAGAUUUCCGAAUGGGGAAACCCGACGGGAACGAUCCCGUCAUCUCGAUUCGAGAGGCGAACCCGGGGAACUGAAACAUCUAAGUACCCGGAGGAAGAGAAAUCAAACCAGAGAUUCCCUGAGUAGCGGCGAGCGAACGGGGAAGAGCCCAAACCGUGGCGUCUUGCGACGUUGCGGGGUUGUGGGACCCGACAUGACCGAAGGGAAAGGAUAGCGGAGCGCGCCUGGAACGGCGGACCGUAGAGGGUGAGAGUCCCGUACGCGAAAUCCGAUGUACCGGAGAGGUCGGGCACCCGAGUAGGCCGGGACACGGGAAAUCCCGGUUGAAUCUGGGGGGACCAUCCUCCAAGGCUAAAUACGAGCCUGUGACCGAUAGCGAAUAGUACCGUGAGGGAACGGUGAAAAGAACGCCUGACGGCGAGUGAAAUAGAACCUGAAACCGCGCGCAUACAAGCGGUAGGAGCCCGUUACCCGACUACGGUCUGGUAAUGGGUGACUGCGUGCCUUUUGCAUUAUGAUCCGGCGAGUUGCUCUUCACGCGCGAGGUUAAGGCCUUCAGGGCCGGAGCCGUAGCGAAAGCGAGUCUGAAAUGGGCGGCAGAGUGCGUGGAGGCAGACCCGAAACCGAGGCGAUCUAUCCAUGGCCAGGGUGAAGCCGGGGUAACACCUGGUGGAGGCCCGAA